ACCUGGAAUAAGAGGGACC
rnacentral:misc_RNA from 1 species